UAGGGAAUCUUCCGCAAUGGGCGAAAGCCUGCCGGAGCAACGCCGCGUGAGUGAUGAAGGUCUUCGGAUCGUAAAACUCUGUUAUUAGGGAAGAACAAAUGUGUAAGUAACUAUGCACGUCUUGACGGUACCUAAUCAGAAAGCCACGGCUAACUACGUGCCAGCAGCCGCGGUAAUACGUAGGUGGCAAGCGUUAUCCGGAAUUAUUGGGCGUAAAGCGCGCGUAGGCGGUUUUUUAAGUCUGAUGUGAAAGCCCACGGCUCAACCGUUGAGGGUCAUUGGAAACUGGAAAACUUGAGUGCAGAAGAGGAAAGUGGAAUUCCAUGUGUAGCGGUGAAAUGCGCAGAGAUAUGGAGGAACACCAGUGGCGAAGGCGACUUUCUGGUCUGUAACUGACGCUGAUGUGCGAAAGCGUGGGGAUCAAACAGG
rnacentral:rRNA from 1 species